rnacentral:rRNA from 1 species
GACAGAGGUGGCGAGCGUUAUCCGGAUUGACUGGGCGUAAAGGGCGUGUAGGCGGUUCUAUAAGUCGGUCGUGAAAGGCGUCGGCUCAACCGAAGCAGUGCGACCGAGACUGUAGGGCUUGGAGCGCGGAAGAGGAAAGGGGAAUUCCCGGUGUAGCAGUGAAAUGCGUAGAUAUCGGGAAGAACACCAGUGGCGAAAGCGCUCUACUGGGCCAUAACUGACACUGAGGGACGAAAGCUAGGGGAGCGAAAGGG